rnacentral:rRNA from 1 species
GGGGUGCCCUAGUAACGGCGAGUGAAGCGGCAACAGCUCAAAUUUGAAAUCUGGCUCUUUCAGAGUCCGAGUUGUAAUUUGCAGAGGGCGCUUUGGCGUUGGCAGCGGUCCAAGUUCUUUGGAACAGGACGUCACAGAGGGUGAGAAUCCCGUACGUGGUCGCUAACCUUCGCCGUGUAAAGCCCCUUCGACGAGUCGAGUUGUUUGGGAAUGCAGCUCUAAAUGGGAGGUAAAUUUCUUCUAAAGCUAAAUACUGGCCAGAGACCGAUAGCGCACAAGUAGAGUGAUCGAAAGAUGAAAAGCACUUUGGAAAGAGAGUCAAAUAGCACGUGAAAUUGUUGAAAGGGAAGCGCUUGCAGCCAGACUUGCCUGUAGUUGCUUAUCCGGACUUUUGUCCGGUGCACUCUUCUGCAGGCAGGCCAGCAUCAGUUUGGGCGGUUGGAUAAAGGUCUCUGUCACGUACCUCCCUUCGGGGUUGGCCUUAUAGGGGAGACGUCAUGCAACCAGCCUGGACUGAGGUCCGCGCAUCUGCUAGGAUGCUGGCGUAAUGGCUGUAAGCGGCCCGUCUUGAAACACGGACCAAGGAGUCUAACAUCUAUGCGAGUGUUUGGGUGUCAAGCCCAGACGCGUAAUGAAAGUGAACGGAGGUGGGAACCUUUUAGGUGCACCAUCGACCGAUCCUGAUGUCUUCGGAUGGAUUUGAGUAAGAGCAUGGCUGUUGGGACCCGAAAGAUGGUGAACUAUGCUUGAAUAGGGUGAAGCCAGAGGAAACUCUGGUGGAGGCUCGCAGCGGUUCUGACGUGCAAAUCGAUCGUCAAAUUUGGGCAUAGGGGCGAAAGCAUCA